UGUUGCGGUUAAAAAGCUCGUAGUUGGAUAUCAGUGCGUGUCCGGUCCGGUAUGCCUGGCGCUGUCGCUCACGCGGCAAUGCUGGGCUCCCAAAUAUCGGCUGGCCGCAUUCAAUCGUGCCGGAUCCGUCGACGGGCCGUUCUUCGGAGGGGCCUGUUGGCGACCGGCGACGUUACCUUGAACAAAUUAGAGUGCUCAAAGCAGGCUCUGAAUGCCUGUAUACAUAUUCAUGGAAUUGGAGAAUACGUCCCUGGCUCGAUUUGGUUGGUUUUGAGAGUCGAAGGGAAAUGAUUAAUAGGGACUGACGGAGGCAUUCGUAUUGCGACGCGAGGGGUGAAAUCCUGUGACCGUCGCACGACGAACUACUGCGAAAGCAUUUGCCGAGAAUGUUUUCAUUAGUCAAGAACGAAAGUUAGAGGUUCGAAGGCGAUCAGAUACCGCCCUAGUUCUAACCGUAAACGAUGUCGACCAGCAAUCCGCAACGGUCACUACACGGACUGUGCGGGCAGCUUCCCCGGGGAAACCAGAGUUUUUGGACUCCGGGGGAAGUAUGGUUGCAAAGCUGAAACUUAAAGGAAUUGACGGAAGGGCACCACCAGGAGUGGAGCUUGCGGCUUAAUUUGACUCAACACGGGACAACUCACCAGGCCCGGACACCGUAAGGAUUGACAGACUGAUAGCUCUCUCUUGAUUCAGUGGGUGGUGGUGCAUGGCCGUUCUUAGUUGGUGGAGUGAUUUGUCUGGUUUAUUCCGAUAACGAACGAGACUCUGGCCUAUUAAACUUGACGCUGUCAGUCUCUUGUGACUGCGGCGCGCUUCUUA
rnacentral:rRNA from 1 species